GACAGGGUUACUGGGUUGGUUAGAACUGCUCGUGUUCACAAAGCAACGACGCGUAACAUACUUGUCGCCGUGGGUCCAUUUGGUGUCAAGUGUUUGCCCAGUAAUCAGGAGCAAUGGAGCCUUACGAAAGGACACGAGGACACCUAACUAUGUUUUCAUCGUUCAUGCUUCGGUCACGUGCCUGGUAGGAAUCACAAGAGCCUAACGGAACAUAACCCUAACAUACGGACUACCAACACUCACCGUUUCUCGAGGUGGACUCCAGCAUUGGGGCGAUGUACUGUGACCACUGUGUCCACUAUGGUUGCUCAUGGCGGAAUUUGAAGCGGAUUGAAGGCCUUGCAGACUAACAUUUAAUGGAGCAACCAUGUCCUCUUCGGUAGUCUCUAUGUCAACUUCGUCGUCUGAAUUCUCCUCCGCUCCUUCCUUUUCCACUGGACGGUCCGUCGUCACUUCUUGGAGGGCCGGUUCGACGAUCGGUGGUCCACGGAUUACUGGACGGAAAGCGGAUUGAUGAAGAGUCGUGGACAGGUCCUCUUUUUGCCAGCCAGGGUAAGGCGUACGGUGGGAAGGCGAAUCCAGGUGUCUUGACAGCCGCAGCAGCGGCAGCCUGCUGAUGCUGAUGCCACACGUAAUCCAUCACGAGACUCCUGGAGAGGGGCAACGGCAAUUCCGGAAACGGCGGCACUCGAGGGACUCGACGAACUUCUUGAGCUUGGAUUCGACAGUAAUCUCUUCCUGGUGCCACCAUUGAACAUAGCCUUGACAUCCUCCCAGGCAUGGACCACUUCGUCAGGAGGAUUACCUGACAAUUUCAUAUGUCUACGCCACGAGUUGAAAUUAGCUGCAUCCGGCUGCACGUAUUUAUCCGUCGGUCCAAUCCUGUGCGAGUGGAAGAUGAAUUUGUUCGGAAGGCCCCACGACAUCCCCAGGCGCAUUCAUGAUGCACGGUAAAGGCAAAGUCCUCUGGAAGUCUGUACAAGAGCCAAUUAGUGGUGCAUUGUCUCCUAGAAAUGACUUGCACAGUCUCUCAGCCUCUCUUCGCGUGAUCAUCCCACAACGACGCGAAGAAACGGGCAUGGCUCCAGCUCGACGAAGAAUCUCCAGCUGCACC